AAUAAGCAUCACACGUAGAGAUGUCAACGGUUGGAUUCGGAGCGGAUUUUUAAAAAUUUGAACCUGAACCCGACUCAAAAUUUGAGAUCCGAAUCCGAAUCCGAACCCGACGGAUUUUAAAUCCGACGGAUUUUAAAAAUUCAUAUCCAAAUCCGAACCCGAUCAAAAAUCCAAAAUCCAAACCCGAACCUGAAAUAAUUAUUAUUUUUUCAAUAUUUUAAAAUAUAUUAUAUUAAAUCUAAAUUUUUAAAAUACAAAUUCAAAUAUAACAUCAAAUUUUUAUAUAUAUAUAUUAUAUAUAAUACAAAAUAAAUUCGGGUUCGGAUCGGGUACAAUCAAAAUUUAUAUCCGAAUUCAUAUCCAUCGAAUUUUUAUUUUUUAUAUCCAUAUCCAUCGAAUAUAUCUGUUUUAUUUAGGUUUGGAUUCAGUUAAAAUUUCGGAUAUCUAUAAUCAUUGACAACCCUAAUCACACGUACUC
rnacentral:lncRNA from 1 species